rnacentral:rRNA from 1 species
AACGAACGCUGGCGGCGUGCUUAACACAUGCAAGUCGAACGGAAAGGCCCUGCUUUUGUGGGGUGCUCGAGUGGCGAACGGGUGAGUAACACGUGAGUAACCUGCCCUUGACUUUGGGAUAACUUCAGGAAACUGGGGCUAAUAUCGGAUAGGAGCUCCUGCUGCAUGGUGGGGGUUGGAAAGUUUCGGCGGUAGGGGAUGGACUCGCGGCUUAUCAGCUUGUUGGUGGGGUAGUGGCUUACCAAGGCUUUGACGGGUAGCCGGCCUGAGAGGGUGACCGGCCACAUUGGGACUGAGAUACGGCCCAGACUCCUACGGGAGGCAGCAGUGGGGAAUAUUGCACAAUGGGCGGAAGCCUGAUGCAGCAACGCCGCGUGCGGGAUGACGGCCUUCGGGUUGUAAACCGCUUUCGCCUGUGACGAAGCGUGAGUGACGGUAAUGGGUAAAGAAGCACCGGCUAACUACGUG